GGCGCCAUCGUAUAGUGGUUAGUACACAGGAUUCUGAUUCACGUGAUUUCCUGUAACCCAGGUUCGAGCCCUGGUGGCGCCU
rfam:Stereum hirsutum FP-91666 SS1 unplaced genomic scaffold STEHIscaffold_15, whole genome shotgun sequence.